GAUGAACGCUAGCGGGAGGCUUAACACAUGCAAGUCGAGGGGCAGCAGUGGGGUAGCAAUACCCUGAUGGCGACCGGCAAACGGGUGAGUAACGCGUAUGUAACCUACCCUGUACAGGGGGAUAACCCGGAGAAAUUCGGACUAAUAUCCCAUAACAAUAUCUGGAGGCAUCUUUGGAUAUUUAAAGUUCCGGCGGUACGGGAUGGGCAUGCGUAACAUUAGCUAGUUGGUAAGGUAACGGCUUACCAAGGCUUUGAUGUUUAGGGGUCCUGAGAGGGUGGUCCCCCACACUGGUACUGAGACACGGACCAGACUCCUACGGGAGGCAGCAGUGAGGAAUAUUGGUCAAUGGGCGCAAGCCUGAACCAGCCAUCCCGCGUGCAGGAAGACGGCCCUAUGGGUUGUAAACUGCUUUUCCAGGGAGAGAAACUUGCGCACGUGUUGCGCAAUUGACGGUACCCUGGGAAUAAGCAUCGGCUAACUCCGUG
rnacentral:rRNA from 1 species